rnacentral:tRNA from 1 species
GCCACUGUGGUCUAGCGGUUAGAACGCUGGCCUUGUAAUCCUGGGGUCUCGGGUUCGAUUCCCGACGGUCCCC